AUAGAAGCCGGGCUGGAAAUGGUUCGUCUGCAUCCAAUGUUGUAAAAACGAAAACAUCCGGUAGAUCUCUUGAUGUUCAUCAUCUCUUCCAAGUGAAUGUAACAUUGGAGUGCAGUUUUCUGGAUCGUAAGCUGACCCAUGAAGUAUAAAGAGCAUGUUAUGAACGGAUCUUCGACAAUACACCGGUUUUUACAUCACGUGGUUGGCGGAAUUAGCUAAAUAGUUGAUUUACUAUUAGCAAUAAUAUAAACAAGCAAUGUAAGUAUGGUAUUAAAUUUCAGCCAAUCUUUUGAAUUAAUAUGGUGUUUUAUUUUACAGAACCGAGG